AUUGAACGCUGGCGGCAUGCCUUACACAUGCAAGUCGAACGGCAGCAUGGAGAGCUUGCUCUCUGAUGGCGAGUGGCGAACGGGUGAGUAAUGCAUCGGAACGUACCGUGUAAUGGGGGAUAACGUAGCGAAAGUUACGCUAAUACCGCAUACGACCUGAGGGUGAAAGCAGGGGAUCGCAAGACCUUGCGUUAUACGAGCGGCCGAUGUCAGAUUAGCUAGUUGGUGAGGUAAAGGCUCACCAAGGCGACGAUCUGUAGCGGGUCUGAGAGGAUGAUCCGCCGAACUGGGACUGAGACACGGCCCAGACUCCUACGGGAGGCAGCAGUGGGGAAUUUUGGACAAUGGGGGCAACCCUGAUCCAGCCAUGCCGCGUGAGUGAAGAAGGCCUUCGGGUUGUAAAGCUCUUUCGGCCGGGAAGAAAUCGCACAGGCUAAUACUCUGUGUGGAUGACGGUACCGGCAUAAGAAGCACCGGCUAACUACGUGCCAGCAGCCGCGGUAA
rnacentral:rRNA from 1 species